rnacentral:rRNA from 1 species
UACGUAGGGUGCGAGCGUUAAUCGGAGUUACUGGGCGUAAAGCGUGCGUAGGCGGUUCGUUAAGUUCGUUGUGAAAGCCCCGGGCUCAACCUGGGAACUGCAAUGGAAACUGGCGGGCUUGAGUGUGGCAGAGGGGGGUGGAAUUCCGCGUGUAGCAGUGAAAUGCGUAGAGAUGCGGAGGAACACCGAUGGCGAAGGCAGCCCCCUGGGCCAACACUGACGCUCAGGCACGAAAGCGUGGGGAGCAAACAGG